GUCAUCAAAUGAAGAUAAAUUAAAUCAAUCUUAGGACACCUUUGGACACAGCUUUUAUGUUGUGGAUGAAAAGAACAAUUAUCCUGAUGAUGAC